GGGGUGGCUUGGAUGUGAAGGUUGCCGGCGCAAGUCAGCUCCUUCUAAAUGCAUUAGCAGAAACUCGUUCCCUGCGAUCGGUGUGAUAAUUAUCUACGCUGUUCCAAGGGAGAAAAAGAGGGUCAGCUUCUAACCGUCCUUCGGGACUUGCCUUUUUUAAUCUUGAUCUCAAAUCAGGUAGGAUUACCCGCUGAACUUAA
rnacentral:misc_RNA from 1 species